CACGUAGGGACCAAGCGUUGUCCGGAUUUAUUGGGCGUAAAGCGCUCGUAGGCGGUUUGGUAAGUCGGGUGUGAAACCUCCAGGCUCAACCUGGUGACGCCACCCGAUACUGCUAUGACUUGAGUUCGGUAGGGGAGCGGGGAAUUCCUGGUGUAGCGGUGAAAUGCGCAGAUAUCAGGAGGAACACCGGUGGCGAAGGCGCCGCUCUGGGCCGAAACUGACGCUGAGGAGCGAAAGCGUGGGGAGCGAACAGGAUUAGAAACCCGAGUAGUCC
rnacentral:rRNA from 1 species